GCGUUUCCGGGAGUUCGGGGGAAAGAUGCCGAGGUUUGAGCCGCAGGAUUCCCUGUUAGUUGUGGUGAGGUAGUUUCUGGUCACAGGAGUAUUUUCCUUCUUUCAUUUGUGCUACAUCACGGUCUUCAGACCAAAACCACAGCAAAACAGCCGUCGCUCUCCAAAUCCCUCAGACACAAACUGUUCACCUCUGUUUACAACUACAUGCAGACCAGCGGGGAUGCGUUUGCUCCUGGGUACACUCCUGAGCGCGAGGGAGGAGUGUCUGGUCUGCAUUCUCGCUCAUCCCUCCAACUCAUCCCAGAGACCUGCUCACACGAGCUACGCCCGCUUAGGCGGCCAGACUGGACCUACAGUUCUCUCAUUGGUCCCCACUUUACUGACCAUAUCUUUGCAAGACAGCCAGAAAACCCCCUAUCCGCUUGUAGUGUUUUCUUUCUUCCUUUUUUUUUUUUUCUAAUACAACUUUUAGUAUCACUGUCUGAUAGUUGAUUUCUCUUAUCUGUUUUAAAAAAUAGCAUGGUGGCUAACGCUUUUAAUCCCGGCACCAGAGGCGGGACAGAGGCUGGUGGAUCUCUGAAUUCAAGGCCACCCUAGUUUAAAUAGAUAGUUCCAGGCUAGCCAGGGCAACAUAGUGAGACCCUGUCUCAAAAAUGAAUAGCUUUGUCCUUAUAAAGGGUGUACAGUAAACUACUAUUUAAAGUGGACACAAUUUACUAUCACGUUUGCACCCUUAAACCAUCAGUACAAUCAAGAUGGAAACGCCACUUCAAAAAAGUUCCUUAUUCUUUAUAAUCCUCCUUUUCUGUCACUCACCAGACCCCUCUGCCCAGACACCUUUCUGUUACUAGAAAUUAGUUUGCAUUUCCUUAACUUUUAUUUAAAUUGAAUCAUAGUUUUUGGUCUGGUUCUUCUAUAGAUUAUUUUGAGAUUCCUCUGUUGUGUUAUACAUAAUUUCCUUUGUUUGACUUUCCCAGUUUGUUCAUUCACUUAUUGGUAGACUUAUGGAACAUUCCAGUUUUGGAGUAAUGCAAAUAAAGCUGCUAUAGGCAUUAACUUACAAGUCUUUGUAUGCUUGUAUUUUUUUUUAAGAGAUUGACAUUUAGUUUUUAUUUCUGUCAGUGAAUCUAGUAAAGGCAUUUCUUUUUUUUUUUAAAUUUUAUAAACAUUAUUAAACAGCUUGUAAAUAAAUUAAAAAUCACACACCAAAGUUAACCAGACCCCAAAUCUGUACAACUCAAUGAACCUUAUACAAUUAGAAUAAACACUCAAGAGGCUGGAGAUACGGCUCAGUGUUUAGGAGUACUGGCUGUUCUUCCAGAGGCCCUGAGCUCAAUUCCCAGCAACCUCACGGUGGCUCACAACCAUCUGUAAUGAGAUCUGGUGCUCUCUUCUGGCCUGCAGGCAUACACGCAGACAGAGCACCUUUAUACAUAAUAAAUAAAUAGAUCUUAAAAAAAAAAAAAGAAUAGGCAUUCAGAACAGAAGCUGUGGAGCUUCACAUUAAAUCUUACACUUUCAGUACCUAAUGUAUUUUAAUGCACUUAUCAACCACCCAGCAACAACAACAAAAACAAAAAGUCCUUGACAGAAUUAGAAUAGAUUUUUUUCAUUGUAUCUGGAUUUGGUUUUCAAAAAUACUUCAGUUAAAUCAACUGAUGCUGUAAUUGGAAACUAUCAGACUUACUUGAGAAGGCAUUAGUUAAUUUUUCUGCUGCCCUUACCCUGUCUUCUGCCCUGGCCCACGGGCUUCAUAUGGGGGCGGGGGAACAGGAAUACAAACAGGGCAAUAAGAAAAUGAAUGAAGCCAUUGGCAUUUAGCAUACAAGAGCAAAACAGCAUUAGGAGAGAAGUGAUUUCAAUAUGCUGCUACUUCUGUCUUGCUAAUGCAACACAAGACCCCUUUCUUCAUAAUUUUUUACUGAAAAAAGUUUCACACAAUAUAUUCUGACCAUGGUUUCCCUUCCCCUGAAUCCUCUCAGAUCCUUCCCACUUACUCACCCAUCUGACACCCAGUCCUUUCUCUUAUGAGAAAGCAAACAGAAAACCCAAACAAAUCAGAAUUAACAAGAAACAUACACACAAACAAACCCCACAAAACCACAAAAAAUCAGAAACCACAACAUACAAGCAAAAGACCAGUAAGACAAAAACAAAACAAAAAACCCCAAACAAAACAAUAUGAUACAAAAGGUCUAUAAAAAUGCCAUUGAGUUGGUUUUAGUGUUGCCCAUCUACACCGGGCAUGGGGCCUGCCCUUCAGUGAAGUUAAUAUACCCAAUGGAACUCCAUUGGAGAAAACGGCUUUUUCCUUUGCUAGAGAAUGUCAGUUGCAGAGAGUUUCUUGGUUAGGGCUGAGAGCUCAUGUCUGCUUCCCCCUCUCAGUGCUGGGACCCCCAUCUGUUUUGAACCUGUGCAGGCCCUGUUCAUGUUGCCACAAUCUAUGUGAGUUCAUGUGUGCAUCAGUCCUUUUGUAUCUGGAAGACACUUAGUGUCAUUCAUCCCAUUUCACAAUCUUUACGUUCCCUCUUCCACAUACUCCCUGAUCUCUGAGCGGAAGGGUUUGAUGAAGACAUCCCAUUUAGGACUGAGUGUUCCGAAGUGUCUCACUGCCUGCGCAUUGGCCAGUGUGGUUCUCUGUGUUAGUUCUCCGAUGAUGGCUGAGCAAGGCACUGAUCUAUGGGUAGGGCAGAAGGUCAUUAGGAGUCAUAUUGCUACAUUUCUUUAGCAGAACAAUAAUACUUGGUUUUCUCCUGUCUAGCUAGUCUCAGGUUCUUAGCCAUAGGCAUUGUGGUAUGGGCCUUAAGUUCAAUCAGAGAGUGGUUUGUUACCCCUAAAACAUUUAUGCCACUAUUAUACCACAAUAUAUCAUGGGAGCAGGGCACCACUGUAGAUUUCAGGGUUUGCGGCUAGGUUGGUGGUUGCCUUUGUACUCUGGUAGUGUGCAGGGUACAUUUCAGUACUAGGAACACUAGUCAAUGGGGUAAAGGCACCAGCUCGACUUCUCUGUGUUCAAUGACGUAUGUAAAUGUUGUCUUCAGCAAUAGGAACUUAUCAUCAAUUUGUGGAGAGCAACAAAUAGCCUUGGAAAUAGCCUGAGAUGUUUGGAGGUUUCCAUGGGGUCUCGUUGGCUAACAACUCAACUAUAUGUAACCCAUAUUUUACUUGGUGGGAAAAGAUGUCUAGUUGGGGCCUUGUCUUCCCCAUUAUUUGGUGACUGUUUAAAUCUCUUAUAUAUGUAUAUAGUUUAGGAAGCUUCUAUAGUAGUAGGUAUCUAUAUGACCCCUCAAAUGGCCCUCAAGUGUUAGUUGUCCCUCUCCAUAUUCCUUCUCUUACCCCUUUUACCCAUCCUACUCUUCAUUUAAUCCUCCCACUCCAGCAUUUCCCAUGUCUCUCCAUAAGUAUAUAUGUUGUGGGAUAUUUGUACACUGUGUGACGAUGUAUUUGCUGUGAUUGGUGUACUAAAAAGCUAAAUGACCAAUAGCUAAGCGAGAGAUAUAGGCAGGGUUUCUGGAGAAAGAAAGGAAGAGGAGAUGAAUCCAGGCACACGAGAGAUGCCAGGAGACAGGGAAGAAGCAGAAUGGGCAGUAUGUGACAGAAUGUAGAUUAAUAGAAAUGGGUUAAUUUAUGUUAUAAGAGCUAGUUCAAAGCAAGCCUAAGCUAAGGCCAAGCUUUUAUAAUUAAUAAUACAACUCUGUGUUGUUAUUUGGGAGCUGGCUGGUGGGGCAGAGAAAGACUUAUUACAAUAUAUUCUAUUUUCUCUUCCUUGAGGGAUCUUCCCUCUCCUCUAGUCCCUUACUUGACACCUAACCUCUGUGGUUAUAUGGGUUAUAGCACACCUAUCAAAUGCUUAAAAGCUACAGUAUGAAUGUAUGUUUUAUUUUACUUUAUUGAGGCAGGGUCUCAUGUAGCCCAGGCAAGCCUCCAGCCUCCAUCUCUGCCUUCCAAGUGUUAAGAUUACAGGUGCAUAUCAUGCUCUGCUGGAUGUGUUUGUUUUAAGAUUUAGUUUUAUUAUUUUAAAUUAUGUGUAUCAGUAUGUAUGAUUAUGGCUAGAGGUGUAUGUAAUCCUUCUGCAUCUGGACUUACAGGUGGCAGUUAGUCACCUGAUGUGGGUACUGGGAAUUGAAAUUGGAUGCUCUGCAAGAUCAGUCUCCAGACUAGUUUUAUGUUAACUUGACACAAGGUAGAGUUCUCUGAAAGGAGGGAAUCUCAACUGAGAGACUGCCUCCGUAAGACCCUGCUGUAGGGCAUUUUCUUACUUAAUGAUUGAUGGGGGAGGGCCUAGCCCAUUGUGAGUGGUGCUAUCCUGGGCCAGUGGGCGUGGCUUCUAUAAGGAAUCAGGCUGAGCAAGCCAUGAGGAGCAAGCCAGUAAGCAGCACCCCUCCAUGGCCUCUGCAUCAGCUCCUGUCUCCAGCUUCCUGCCCUGUUUGAGUUCCUGUCCUGACUUCCUUCAAUGAUUGAUUACAACAUGGAAGGUUGCUCCCCUCUGAAGAUUGGAGGAAUGUUUAUUAACGUUUGAUCAGGAUGUAGCUCUCAGCUCUUUUUCUAGCACCAUGCCUGCCUGCUGCCAUGCUCCCUGCCAUGAUAAUGGACUGAGCCUCUGAAACUAUCCCUCUUUUCCUGGAGAAGAACAGGAAACCUUUGAUUUAGGACUCACAGAAAUCCUGACUUAACUUGAUCAUAUCUGCAAAAAUUCUGUCUCCAAAUGAAAGUUUGACGUUCUUGACUUACGUGGAGUUUUUGGAACACCAUUCAGUCCAGACACUUGACACAGUCCCAGGGUCCACGUGAGGAACCCCACUGAAGUGGCAGAGCUUACUAAAAACACAGGUUCUGAACAUGUGCCCUGACUCUAGGAAAGACCACCCGGAGAUGUAACCAGCAUUCACAAUGUGAUACAUGCAUUCAGAGACAAGACCAACAUCUGCUACUGAACACACAAAAGACCACCCAGGGGUACGACUUGCAUCUUGGGAGCCUGUGAACAGAACAUCCAGAAACGGUCCUGGAACCAGUACCCGGGCAAGGGGCUGUAUCCAGACUGCAUCGCCACGCACUUCCUCUUUCUUUACGGUCAAGCCAUAAGAUGAAAUUGAGAACCUGCUGGUGGCCAGAUUUCCUAUGUAUAUACUAGGGAAGAGGAAGAAGCUGAAACAGAGGGAAAACCAAGAUGAACAAAGCAGAUGAACAGGAUGAGGGUGAGGAGAAACUUGUAAGUGGGAGAGGAGAAAGGUGAACACUCUGGGGAUUGGGUUGGAGUUGGAAGUAUGUCUGUUAGGGAUUCUUGGGGGUGAGGAACUUCUAUGUAUGUAAAUGCUGAUGUGUACAGAUGGACGUGUGUCUGAGUUUCUUUUUCAGUUUCUGUGAUGAAAUAUCUUGACCCUCCCACCCAACCCCCCCAAAAGGGGGAUAAAAUGCUUAUUUUGGCUACAGUUUAAGGUAUAGUCAUCAUGGCAGGUUAUCCACAACAAUAGGAGCUCUCUCUCUCUCUCUCUCUCUCUCUCUCUCUCUCUCUCUCUCUCUCUCUCUCUCUCUCUCUCUCCCCUCUCUGCCUAGGAAAUAGUACUACACACAGUGGACAGGGCUUCCCAUCUCAAUUAAGUCAAUCAAGCUAAUUUCUCUGAGUCAUGCUCAGAGGCUGUCUCACAGGUGAUUCUAGAUUUUUACCAGGAUGACAGUUAAUGUGAAUCAUCAAAACAUAUAUGCCAUUCUUGGGGGAAAUAACCAAAUCCAGACAGGAUGAGCCUAGAACAUGUCAUGGUAGAGAGUAACAUAAUGCUCAAAGAACUAGGGGGACAGGUCAAAAGGACACAGGGGCAACUUGAAGGGGCUCCUACUGGCCAAACUGAGAACGGCAUGAACAUUAAAAAUGAAGAAUGAAGCCGGGCGGUGGUGGCGCACGCCUUUAAUCCCAGCACUCGGGAGGCAGAGCCAGGCGGAUCUCUGUGAGUUCGAGGCCAGCCUGGGCUACCAAGUGAGUUCCAGGAGAGGCGCAAAGCUACACAGAGAAACCCUGUCUCGAAAAACCAAAUUAAAAAAAAAAUGAAGAAUGAGUAUUGGGAAGAAACUACUAAAUAGAAUAAAAAUCUCAAUCAGUCAUGGUAAACAGCUAAGCACAACCCCAUAUUUGAUAGAGGAGAAAGUGAGGUUGACCAGAAGAUUGUUGGCAACAGUAACAUCAUGAAACAGUGCUCUUCAUUUGAUUUUGGGGUGUUAUGGAUCAAAUUCAGGGUUUUUCUUAUGCUAGGUAAGCAUUCUACCAUAAGCCAUACCUCUAGUCUAUGUGUAGUUGGUAAAGCAACUGGGCUCAUUAACUUUAACUGUUGAUUGACACAACCUAGAAUCACCUGGGAAGGGAUUAUCUAGACUAGGUUGAUUUGCAUGCAUGUCUUUGGAGAACUGUCUUGCUUUUUAAUUGAUGUAGGAAUACCUAGCUCAUCGUGGGCAGUAUUAUUCUAAAGGUUACAGAGGCCUUAUGAGUCAGUUUAUGUUUGAACAACAUGGCACUGAUACAGAUAUCCAUCAUGGGCCAAAGUGAUAACCCUGGACAACACCAAAUGGUGAAUGUCUGGAGAAACCCUAAGUAGAGUGAUGUAAUCUGUUUAUAGGUUUCUUGCAGGAAACCACUUUUGUGUGGGUUUUGUAUGAGCAUGGCUUUGAAACAUGAAUGUAUAAGUAUCUCUUUGGGGUGCUGAUUUAGAUUCCUUCCAGGGGUAGACUAGCCUGGUGGUAUGGUGAUUCUAGCUUUAGUGUUUUGAGAAAUCUCUGUGCCGAUUUCCAUAGUGGCUACUCAAGUGCCCCCUCCCACCAGCAGUGUAAAAAGUUUCUUUUCCUUCACAUUCUCACCAAUACCUGUUGUCAUUUGUUUUCUUGAGGACAGUCAUUCUGAAGUGGAUGAGAUGGAAUCUCAGUAUAGUUGGAGUAUGCAUUUCUUUGGAGGCUAAGGUGGAACAUUUUUUUCAAAUAUUAUUUCUUGGCUACUUCCAUUUCUCUUUUUGAGUACUGUUGAUUAUUUGAUUAGUUAUUCAUAGGUUUAUUUGCUUGUGUGCAUGUGUCUGUGUGCUGUAUCUCUGUGUGUGAUUGUACAUGUCUAUGUAUGGAUGUGUGGAAACCACACUAAACAUGUAUCAGCCAGUGUCUCUCACUGAUCAGUUGGCUAAACUGGCUGUCCGUUGUGCCCACAGUACCCUUCUGUCUCCACCAGUCAGAGCUGAGGUCAAGGAAUGCACCCUCACACCCAUCUUUUCCUUUCCUUUCUUUCCUUUCCUUUUCUUUUCUUUUCUUUUUUUUCUUUUCUUUUCUUUUCAUAACACAAGGCUGGGGUAGGGAUCUGAAGUUAGGGCCUCAUGCUUGUACAGCAGACACCUCGCCCACUGAGGCAUGUCCCCAUCUCCAGCUUUUUGAUUUCUAGUCAUCUGAGUUCUUUGUAGAUUCGAUAUACUAACCUCUUGUCAGAUGUGUGGUUGGGUUCUGCAGCUUGUGUAUUCAUCGUGCUGUUUGUUUCAUUUACUAUGUAGAAAAGUUCUUUUUUUUUUUUUAAUUUUCUACAAUCCUAUUUGUCAGUUCUUGCAAUUAUUUCCUAAGCAUUUGGAGUCCUUUUCAGGAAGUCAUCGCCUACACCUGUUUCUUGAGGUGCUUUCCCUGUCUUUCUCCACCACAUCAGAGUCUCAGAUGACAUGACUAUAUUUGAUCCAUUUGAAUUGAUUGUUAUGCAUGGUAGGAGGUAGGGGUCUAACAUUACUCUUCUAAAUGUCUUUUUCUUUCUUGAUUGUCAUGGCUAUGAGGUAGUAUAUUGAGUAAUCAUGGACACCAUUACCUCAUUCCUGAUUUUAGAGGUAAUAGCUUGAGUUUUUUUUCCCAUUUAGUUUAAUCUAGACAUUGGUUUGUUGUACAUAGCCUUUAUUUUAUUUUAUUGGGUUUUUUCUUUUGUACAUAGCCUUUAUUAUGUGCCUUCUAUUCCUAAUUUCCUCAGAGAUUUUAUCACAAAGGCCCUUGCACUGACAUGAUCAUGUGAUUUCUGUACCCAAUUCUCUUAACUUGUUGCAUUAUACUUAUUGAUUAUAUAUACUUAUAUUAUACUUACUUAUUAUACAUAUGUGGAACUAUUACUGGAAUGAGAUUAGCUUGAUCAUGAUAGAUACUCUUUUUAAUGUGUUGUUAAAUUUGAUUUGCAAUUAUUUUUAUUGAGAACUAUUGUAUUUGUGUUUAUUGUUUUUUGUUGUUGUUGUAACCGUAUCUGGUUUUGGUGUUGGGGGAACACUGGUAUCAUGUAAUGAAUCUUGUACGCUUCCUUCUCUUUAUACUUUAUGGACUAUGUUGAGAGAAGCAUUGUUAGCUUUUCUUCAAAGGGCCAGUAGAAUCGAACAGUGACUCUGCCCACUUCUGGGCUUUUCCUUGUUGGGAGACUGCUUCAGCCUUGUUGCUCUUUAUAAAUCUGCUUAAGUUGUUUAUGUUCUUGAUUUAAUUUUGUAGGGUCAUAUUUGUCUCUGGUUGUUUUCUAGACUUUUCAGCUUUGUAGAAUAUAUGUUUUUAAACUGCUCCUCAGUGACCUUCUGGAUGUCACUAGUAUAUGCUCUCAUAGCCGCUUUCAUCUCUAAUUUUAUUUAUUUAGAUAUCUCCCUUUUUGUGGUUAGUUUGGCUACAGUCUUAUCAAUCUUGUCUUUUCUAUGAGCCAACUCUUGGCUUCAUUGAUUCUUUGUAUUGUCCUUAGUCUCCAUGUCAUUAAUUUCUGCUUUGCUCCUUAAGAUUUCUUUCCAUCUACUGCUGGGGUUGGCUACUUCUUGUUCUUCUAAGACUUGGACUGGAUGGUGAAAUUAUUCCCUUGACUUCUUUGUUGAACGUUAUGUGUAAUAUAUCCAUGCGUGUGCACACACACGUGAGGGUAUAUGUGCAGAGACCAGAUGUCAACAUUGGGGGUCUUUUUCUGUUGCUCUCCAUCUUAUUUUUCCCGAGAUUAGUUCUCUCAGUGAUUUCAUUGUGUUGGCUAGACUGGAUGGCCAUCAAACUGAGCAGACUGUGCCUGCCUUCACCUCCUUAGCACAGGGCUUUCUUUACUGGGGAGUGCUUCUGUAUCCAGGUUUUAUGUGCAUGCUGGGGCAUCUGAACUUGGGACCUCGUGCUUACAAAGCAAACACUUUAUCCACUAAACUCUAUUCCCAGUACUCUUUUUCAUCUUUUAAUAUAAUCAUUCAUAGCUGUAAACUUGACUCUCAGAACUGCCUUUGCUGUAUCUCAGAGAUUCUGAUAUACUGUGCCUUCAUUUCCGUUUUAUUGUAGGCACUUUUCUCUCCAGUUUCUUCAUGGUCAUUCAAUAAUGUUUUUAUCUCAGUAUGUUUGUGUAGUUUCUUCCUGUACUGAUUAUUACUUUUACUCCGCUGCGAUCUGAUGACAUACAAGAGAGUAUUUUGAUUCUUUUGUAUUUGUUAAGACUCGCUUUAUGGCCUUAAGUGGAUAUCUGUUUUAGAGAAAGUUCAAUAGGGUGCUGAGAAAAAUGUGUAUUCCACAGCAUUUGAAGGGAAUACUCUACAGAUACCUGUCAAACUGAUUGGAUCUGUGCCAUUUAAUUCUGAAAUUUCUUUGUAGAGGUCUGAUUUGUAUGAUCUGCUUAUUUAUGAUAUUAGGGUAAUGUAGUCUCUAUAUUAUAUCAGGACCUGUCUGUCUUGUUAUUUCCCCAGCUCCAGAAUGUAUAAAUGAGACAGAAAUAUUUAGAAGUAGGCAGAUUUCCCACAUUGGUUGCCUGACCAAUGGAGUGAGGACUAUUAUGGUUGGAAAGGCCAAGUGGAAGCCACUGGAGUUAAAGGAUUAGAGAUGUUAGUGCCAUGGUCAAGGACUUAAAAGAUUAGGGGUGGUGGUUCCUACCACAUCUCUAUUUAACUCCCUAUUUAGGCUGUGCAGAAGAUGGAUAAAUGAAGAAUGACACCGUUUAUUGCAAGCUUAAUUAAAUAGUGACUUCAGUUGCAGCUGCGAUACCAGACAUGGUUUCCUAGAUAGACUAAUGCACCUCCCAGGACCUGGUAUAUAGCUACUGAUUUUGCGAAUCCUUUUUCUCCUCCAUGUCUGCCAAUAAGAACCACCAAAAGCAAUUUUCUUUGGGCUUGCAAGGCCAGAAGGACAUCUUUACAGUUCUGUCCAAAGGGUAUGUAAAUUCUCCAGUCCUGUGCUGUAACAUAGUUCAGAGAGAUCUUGAUCACCUUUCUUUCACAAAGUAUCACACUGGUCCAUUACAUUGAUGACAUUAUGCUCAUUUGGCCAAGUGAGCAGGAGGUAGUAAGCACUCUGGACUUGUUGGUAAAACAUAUAUGCAUUACAGGAUGGGAAUGUCUUAUUAAAUAAAAACCCAGAGUCAGAGAUUAGGGUGAAAGCUGAAAGAUCAGAGAAGCAGAGCAGCCAGCCACUGGAAACUUCUUACCUCUACAAAAUCUCAGACAAAUGAAUGAGAUACUGUCUCUACAAAUCCUCAGACUGAAUGGGCUGAGAUCCUGUCUCUACCUGCCUUAUAUUCCUGUCUCCACCUCCCUAGUGCUGGUAUUAAAGGCAUGAGUCUCCUGGGUGCUGGGAUUAAAGGUGUGUGCCACCACUGCUUGGCAUUGUUUCUCUUUUAGACUGGUUCAAUCUUGUGUAGCCCAGGGUGGCCUUGAACUCCUGAUCUUCCUGCUUCCUCCUCCCCCCAAGUGGUGAAAUUAAAGGUGUGUGCCACUACUUCCUUGUCUCUAUGGUUAACUAGUGGCUAGUUCCACCCUCUGAUCUCUAGGCAAGCUUUAUUUGUCAAAACACAAACAAAAUAUCAUACCACACUCCAUGACUAGGGCAACAACAGGAUAACCAAGAGAAGUUUCAAUGAGGGUCCAGUAUUGAUGGUGUCCCAGAAGCCAGAGGCCUUGACCUGGCCAACAACUCAUUGCAAUGAACAUUUGCAAGUAAAGCUAUGUGGACAAAAGGGUCUACUGUGUGCCACAUGAGACUCCCAAGCCACUCUGACGAGUAUGUGACGGGAAGGUGGGAAAGUUGAAGGAGUGAGAUUUUUUUGUUUUUUGUUUGUUUGUUUGUUUUUCUUUUUUAUUAUUUCUCUUUUUUUAAAAAAAAGUUCUUCUAGGAGAGGGGUAUCUUAGGGUUUCUAUUGUUGUGAAGGGACACCAUGACCAUGGCUACUCUUUUAAAGAGAACAUUUAAUUGGGGUGGCUCGCUUACAGUUUCAGAGGUUCAAUCCAUUAUCAUCAUGGUGGGGAGCAUGGCAGCAUGCAGGCAGAUGUGGUGCUGGAGGAAUAGCCGAGAGUCCUACAUCUUUUAGGCAGCAAGAAGUUGACUGUGACAUUGAGCAGUAUCCUGAGCAUACACGAGACUUCAAAGCCACAGUGACACACUUCGUCCAACAAGGCCAUAUCCACUCCAACAAAGCCACACCUCCUAAUAGUGCCACUCUCUAUGAGAUUAUGGGGUCCAAUUACAUUCACACUAUCACAGUGAGGGAGGCUACAAGGGUAGAGGGUGGUCAUGGAAAGACUGGGAAAUGAGUGGGGUUGGGGUACAUGAUGUGAAAUUCCUAAAGAAUCAAUAAAUAUGUUAAUAUAAAAAGAAAUGAAGAAUGUGAAUAAUAUUUGUGUAUAAUGACAGCAUUCAAGAUUUCAAGUAAAGGUAUUAGAAAAUCCACAGUUAUGCCACCAUUAGUGUGGCAGCUUUCCUGAUGAAGUAAUUGGUGAUGUUAAUGAAUAUUAAUUUGGGGUAAGGAAAUGUGUCAACAUUUAGAAAAUCUUCAGAAAUCCCUCCAGUACUUUGUAAGAGUCCAGUGUAUUACUUUAGAAUUUAUGCUUGCUAAAAAAUCCAUUCAUUCAAAGUGAAAAAUAGGUCAAUAUAUUUUAAUGGGCUGGAAUUGAUUGAUAUGGUUUCAGAUUCUACAUUACAACUUCCCCUUAAGACACUAUGGCUUGUCAAGUUUGGGUAUACUAUAAAGAAUAAUGCUCAAACAUCACAUGAAAGGUAUUAA